rnacentral:rRNA from 1 species
GAGUUUGAUUAUGGCUCAGGAUGAACGCUAGCGGGAGGCUUAAUACAUGCAAGUCGAGGGGCAGCAUGGGACUUCGGUCCUGAUGGCGACCGGCGCACGGGUGAGUAACGCGUACACGACCUACCUUCGAGAGUGGGAUAAAAAUCAUAGUAAAUUGAGAUUAAUACCGCAUAGUAUUGGUUUAAAUAAAGAGGACCAAUUAAAGAUCCGUCGCUCGAAGAUGGGUGUGCGUUAGAUUAGAUAGUUGGUGAGGUAACGGCUCACCAAGUCGACGAUCUAUAGGGGGCGUGAGAGCGUGGCCCCCCACACGGGUACUGAGACACGGACCCGACUCCUACGGGAGGCAGCAGUAAGGAAUAUUGGACAAUGGGGCGCAAGCCUGAUCCAGCCAUCCCGCGUGCAGGAUGACGGCCCUACGGGUUGUAAACUGCUUUUAGACAGGACGAAACGCCCAUAUUUAUAUUGGCCUGACGGUACUUGUCAGAAUAAGCACCGGCUAACUCCGUGCCAGCAGCCGCGGGUAUUACGGAGGGUGCAAGCGUUAUUCCGGAAUCCCUGGGUUUUAAAGGGUGGCGUAGCCGGCCAGAAUAGUUCAAAGGUGAAAGCCCACCGCUUAACGGUGGAACUGGCCCUU